AGAGAGGAAAAACAAAAGCGAGUGUUAAUGGUACAACUUCCUUGCAGCAUGCCAACUAAUGCACAAAACUAGAGCUAUUCAAACAUGGCACUGGGAUGUUAUUCUGCCCUUAAGUGCUUGGGGAUGGUGUCCACUGGCCUGAGCAGUAUAGAGCCAUAGCGCAUGAGUGAACAGGCAUUUUGCAUUAACAAAAAACAAACAUGAGGGAGAAGGGGGUUCAAAAUGAGCCUCCUGGCAGCAGAACUGGAGGAAAGCUACUCCCUUUGUACCUGAGUGGUAGCAUGAAAGGCAGGGGGUGGUGCCAGGGCAACCACUGGCCCUAUCUCUCUCCUGGCCCUCCCAGCAAACUGGUGUUGCAGAGGACUGCUUUAUAAACAGCUGCCGUAUAAUGUCGCUAUAGACCUUCCUCCGACCCCAAACCUAUUUCACGCUUACACAUCUAAGUACUUCUCAGGAGUCCAAAUGUAGCUGUGGAGAUGGAAAUAGGAUCUAAAAUCUGCAUAAGAGCCAAAAAUGCCAUCUGCACAACUACAUUUGCCUCUCUUGGCAUGCUCAGAAGGCUCUUCUGCGACUGUGUAUGCUCUCUGGCGAUCCAAUUCUGCUGGGACAGGUGCAUUAUUGUGUAGAAGUCCCUGAAACUGUGGUCAGAAAAAAAAAAGCUCGACUAGUGAUUGUUAAACAGGUACUCCCACCUUUCAGCCCAAUAGCCUGGUGAUUAGGGCACCUACACAGGGAGCAGGAGAUCCAAGUCCUAGUGCCCACUUCCUCCAGAGGAGGUCUGAACCUAUAUUUAUCAUUUCUUAACACAGUGGAAUAGGAUUUGGCCCUUCACGCACAGCCUGCAACUUGGGCAGGGCAGCAUUUCCUUAUGUGUGGGCCUGCGUGUAGCUUGCCGGGUUUACUAUCAACAUGAGGGACAACCUCUGAAGACACAGAUCUAACUCCUUGGGCAUCCUUGUGAUAUGACAACACAUCCAGAGAACUGAACCCAAGAGAAAGCAGAAAACAAAGAAUAUUCCCAGUUGCAUUUUCUUGGCAAAUGUCAAGGUUGCUGAUGGUAAAGUUUAAACACGCAGUUCCCUAAUAUUUCCAGGAACAGUUGUAAGAAUUCCUAUAAAGGCUGCCUCUCCUGUUUAACCAUAGGGGAAAUCACGAUCCCUUAACUCUUACAUAAUCGGUACAGUUAUGCUUAUGGUCCCCUCCCCGUUCUUAUGGAACGACGUGAACUCAGAGUCCGAGCCAACUCCCAUUGAAAUCAAGGCAUGUCUCAGUAUUGACUGCAGUGCGAGUUUGAAUAGGCCCAUAACUCUGACAUGGAAGAAAACCACUGAUCCAAGUACAGGACAAGAAAAGCCUAACAGCUAUAUACACAUAGCUCUUUCUAUAUAGACAAGCAGGAUGCUUGUUAAUGGACCGACAAAGAAAAAUGACCGGCAGCGAGGUGCAUUGUCCUGGUAGUCACACGAACAGACCAACAGGCUAGCCCAUGAUUACUCAGGUGAGGAAAGUCAGGGUCUGCCCACCCUAGUCAUCCAGUAAUUGAAAUUCUGAAUCUCAUCUGUGUCUCACACAAGGGCUGGAGCUGUGCGUUGGAGGGGGGGAAGGGAUCACUUCUAUUUAACAAGGGAAGACCGAAAGGCUUGACCUGACAUGAAGCUGAAGUGACGUCAAAUGGAUAUUGUCCCCCCUACAGCUAUCUUGAGCCUGUUUCCGUUUCAAACUGUGGGCACAACCUACUUCCCAGGUUCCUGUGGGAACAAGGGAAACCAAAAGGGAAGAGACAACAGGAAAACUGGGACCUUCUGCCCACAAAUCAAAGCUGCCUGAGGCUGACCGAGCCUUAGGCAGAGCCACGGCGGAGCACGAGUAGGAGUGCCCCUCCACAAAGUGCUACCUUCCUGUGCACGGGGGAGGAAGCGGGGACAGGGAUGGGCAGGGGUGGGGGUGCAGAUGAGGAAGGGCUGUAGGUCAUGAAGUCAUAGUCCCGUCUGGGUGUGUGUGUGUGUGCAUGUGUGUGUGCAUGCAUACGCAUGCACGGGGAGGGGAGAGGCCUGGCCGCUCUCUUAAUACUUACAACAUACCUUAAUGAAUCUAAAUUAGUAACCCAGCGUAACAGCCUACAUGGCUUUUACUCCCUUAACAAUGCAAUAGAAAAUUCUGAGCACGUGGAAAAUCUUUUCAAUUGUUUGAGGUGACUGGGUAAUGUUUCUUGCCAGCUUCUCAGCUGGUGCGCAUUACUUCAUUCUUUUGAGUUAUAUUGAUUUAUGAUGUAUUUUCUGUGCUUUCCUAUGCUGCAUAAAAGGAGCCAAAUUCCCUUGCACACUCAGGCUGCUUUAUAUGGCUGCAGUGGUAUAAGGUAGGAUCAUAGGAAAAGUAGGGCUGGAAAGGGCCUCAUGAGGUCAUCUCAUCUAGCCCCCUGCUCAAAGCAAGAUCGUCCGUAACUAAAGUACGCAUAGGGUAAAUGAGAAUCAAGCCCGGGCGUAUUUCCAUUAUAUCACAAAUAAGACAGUUACAUCAUCUAUCUAGGAAGGAGAAUUGGAAAGUUUAUAAAGGAGAUCACUGUAUUGCUUAGCUUAAUGUGCUCUCUGUUAUGUUAUAAAAACAUGUUAUUUAUUCUUUUUGGAAAGAAUAUGGACAAGUAAUCUAGCAGAUGCUUCAAAUUAUCUAAAUCACAUUACAGGUUCUGUAAAAUACACUUACACACAUGCUGGUGAAUGCUCUCCCUAUACAUUUGUAUUGCGGUUUUGAAUUAUAAUGUCUAUGCUAAGAAAAAAAACUGACAGUGUUUUAUAGAUUUAAUGUACCUUUCAAGCAGAAGUAUUUAAAAGCAAUUUUCAAACUACCUGAACUUCACCUACUGUGAAAAUGCAGCUACGUCAGAAUAGAAAUACAUAGCUGUUCAAUAAUACAGAACAAUGCUACAUAGCCAUUUAAAAUUGUUACUAAUAAAGACUCUUAUUUUAAUCUUUUAUGCAUUUCACUGGCCAUGUCUACACAAGACGCUACUUCGCAAUAGCAGUGAGCUUGUUGCAACUGUGCAGUAGCAUCAGGAAAAACUGUGCAGAGACAUUACUGAGCAGUAAUGCCGGUUACUGUGCAGUCAUUUAGUACUUGGUUAUGCAAGUACUAAGUUACUGCACAGUAAUAAUUGCACAGUCUGCCGCUCAUGUAGAUGCAGCCGCUGACAGUGAACUGGCCUCGAGGUUUUUUUUCACCAAACAUCCACUAAGAAAUUCUAGAAAUCAGAUACCCCCAGUAUUUUACCUAAGUAAUCCAUCAAUAAAAACUUAUUGCAUUAAGUGCCUACUGAACAAGAUUCAAGGAGAUCCGAUCUGCCUGAAUGCAUAUUCUCAAUGUUGUCGUGCACAUGCCAUGUCCCUUUAAAUAUCUACAUUUGGGGAGCUGGAGCAGUGCAAUGAAUAAUGUUUUAUUAUUAGCUGAGAGAUGUAAAAUACACUGGCACUGUCACCCUGCUUGUUUGAAGGACAUGCAGGGUCCUAAAGUAGUUUUGCACUCGAUGCACAUUCAGUCUUAGCUCCGCUAGGUGGAUUGAUAAGCUAGUUUCAUGUUCGCAACCUCUUGCAUGUUCAUUUUAAACCCUUAAGAGAAAGGUUUCAAAUGUCUGAUAUUCAACAAUCAUGCACGUAUUCCCUUCUGGGUACAGUUUUGAAUGACUUCUGUGUUCUCUUGCAGCCUCAAAGCAGCCCCAAGACCAUGACUGAGUAGGUUAAUCAAAGGCAAGAAAGCAAGUACAUAAAUAAAAGAUAAAAACUGAUAAAAAGCCAGUACGGCAGUCUGUGUGUAUGCUAGGGCCCAUGUUUUCAGAAGUGUAUUUCCCAACUGCGCGCACACAUGCAGCAUUUCAUACAGAUCUACUUCGCAAAGAAGCUCCCAGAUACAAGAUUUGGGCAAUGGCACUGCCUAGGUUAGUUAGUACAUGUCCUGGUUUGCACAGACACACAUGCAUUUCAGGAUAAGCAGGAAAAAAUAUUAGCCAAGAACAGACAAAAAGAUGAUCCAGGAGUUAUUGUGUAGUUUGUAGUGUAGUGUAGUGAAGUCUCUGGCUUCUUUACUAUUCAUUCCCUCCAGGAGGAGCGCACACACCAACUGCAGAUGCUUCCUCAGCCGGACGAGGGGUAUUUGUAACCGAAAGCUUGCAAAGAAGAAUUUUUCCAGCUAUCUGAGUUGGUCUAAUACAAGAUAUCAGAUAUACCCAAAGAGCCUUGUCUAUCCAGGAGUUAGGGCACUUAUGUAGGCCCGGGAAGGGUGGUUCAGUUCCCUUUUCACCUCAAGUUUCCUGGGUGGGUCACUUAGCUUCUCCAUUCUUCAUUCAUAAAAACCAGCUACCAGCACUUCCCUGUUUUCCCUGGCGUACUCUGAGCCAGACCCUGAGGCAGUCAGAUACUAUAGUAGUGUGGACCCUAGAAGUACUGUGGAUCAGCUAUUCCAUUCGUGUAGUUAGGGGGCAUUUAGCUAUCUUGGCUCCUGUUGCCUGGGCAUUGAUGCUAACACUAGGCAGUAAAAGCAGAUCAGAAAGCAGAAUGAAAACUGAAAGGAUUAGGAUCAGAAUUUCCUGACGGAGCAAAUGCAAUGCUGGAACUGGGAAGCAGGAAACCCCCCACCGUUUCUCUGAAAAUUAAGGCAGCAGUAGGUAGUGACGUCUGCUAAAAGCAGAGGCGUCACGAGGCUGUGGGAGUUCAGAGGAGGAGACUGGGUGGGGAUAACAGUAAUGUAAAAAUGCAUUACUCCCAGGGCAGACCAGUGUUAGCAGCAAAAGAAAAUGAUAUCUCAUGGCUAAAAGGAAUGGGAAGGACAAGCGUGCGGUGGGCAAGGGGGCACCAGGGGAAAGGAUAGUAUGUCGGUAUAGCUAUUUUAAGAUCCUCUCCACUUUCAGAAGUGCUGGCAGCAGAGCAGUUGCCACAAACUGGAUGCUUUAAGGGCAAUACAUUGUUUUUCUCCGGCCAGGGAACUUCCACUGAUGUCUGUGGGGGCAGACCGUGGUCAGCAUGUGACCCUACUCGAACAGCAUGGGAGGACAGUAUGUUCACUUGUCAGUCUACAGGUCAGGAGAAGGCAAUGAGUGGUUUCUUUUCUGUCGGGGGUGGGGAGGUUUCUAUUCAGGGUGGUGGUCAGAAGGCACUCCCAAUGCCAACCCAUCUGUCCCACACGGCUGCAUCCAGCCAAAUCUGGGAAACUUGUUUUCUCUGAGAAAUGAAAGGGCCGUAUCUUAUUUCCAUGAUGGGACUAGUUUUGACCUGACCUAAAUCUACCUUCCAUCAAACCCUUUUGAAAAAUGGGACAAAUUUAGGUGCACUUCUCUGAACAAAGCUAAGCCAAAUUCCUGGUGUAUGGCUAGCGGCCUGCCUGGGUGAAGUUAGCAAGACUCUAAGCUAAGACUAAGGACAGAAAUUACAAAUGUAAGUGAUUGGAAACCGGUUCAAAUCUAUAACACACCAGAAGUUUAGUGCACGUACACUGCUUUCACAAUGGCCAAAACCAUUUAAGAUAAACCUGGACGGAUGUAGUAUCAGAAUUAACUGAUUUAGGUUAAAUCGGUUUACAAACUCCUGUCCGGUCUGUGCAGUUAGGCUGCGGGCAGGCAUAGGAGAGGAAUAAAGAUCUCUGAGCAGCAAAGCAAGCAGAAAAUGCUUGCCUUUUCUUUCCUUUUAAUUUGAAGCCUCAUCACUAAUACCAGUUAGCUAGGGGCUAACAUACCGGACAUGAUCCCACUGAAUCCCAAUGUUAUUAGCUAACUUGAACUUGAACCCAGUGCUUUUCUGCUUAAAUGACUGUGCAUGCUUCCCUGGGGUUGCCAAUACUAACACAUGGCUCAACUCACGCCACUCCUGGAAUAGAGACAAUAUUCCAUGACCUAGCUCUCCCCCGGCAGCCACAAGUAAAGAACAAUGCUAAAGAGAUUGCAAUCAGUCCAACUGUGGGACAAAACUAAUCAGAGCUGAUUAGAAUAACAGCCAAACUCAGUAAUGACUGCCUAGUUCACAUGAGGGAAUGCAGGUCAGGGAAACACAAAAGAACUUCGUUAGUAGUGAGGAAGGAAGAUCCUGUCACCCCGCGUUGUUGAAUUCAAGGUUUUAUGUAUUCAGCCCCUGAAAUCCUCUGCAGCAAUAAGAGUCAUAUAUACAGAGAGAGAGAGAGCAGGCAGAUCGCUGCAAGUACAGCCUGCAGGUAAACAGGGACAUGGCCAGAGAUACAAAGAAACUGGUCUAACCUCUUUCCUAGACUUUACCUACCCUAUGUAAAUGUGUGAGGUGAAGCAGUCAUAACAGAUCUGAAAACAUUUGGCACCACUAUGCCAGUGAUUGGACAACGUAGUAGUAUAAGCACUACGGCUGCGACCCAAACAAAUAGCAAGUAAUUCCAGAUGGAGAACGUUGCCUGAGAAGGGGCCAAGUCCGCAAGCUGAGCCGGAGCGAGACCUAUGAACAGCACUGCUCUUACUAAUACCAAACCACGGUGGAGUGAAAAAUAUCCAAGCGCCCCGUUCACCUUGCGUGUGCGUGUGUAUGCAUCCGUAAUGACAUGCCUUGCUCCUAUGUGGUUGCAGUGGAAAGGAAGCUGCUAUGCAUAACAGCAAGGGAAAUAACCCAGCAGUGUAGCAGUACAGCUCUUUUAAGACAUUUCCAGCCGCUUGGUUUCCUUUACACAUGAAUGAUAUGCAGCUCGGUCAAGCCAGCUCCCCUGCACUCCACUGGAGACUUCGUAUGAUGUCCACAGGAUCACAGAUGGUAGAGACCCCCGGGACACCGUUCUGACCUUCUGUAACCUACUACAGAUUUUUCCCAACAUUUAUAGUAUUUUGCUUUACUGAUUUUGGUUCUCUUAAGCAAUAGGAUUCCCAACAUAUUAAGGGACGCCCCUACACAAGAUGUAGCAUCGGGGGGCGCACACUGUGACAUCGCCGCUAUUGCACAGUAGCAAUGAGCUCCUGAGCGGUCGGGUCGGAAACAACCUGUGCAGCGCCGGGACUGCGCAGCACCGGCAUUUACUGCGCAGCCAUUUAGCGCUUGCUUUAGAUAAAGCACAUGCUAGAUGACUGCACAGUAACAACUGUGCAGUGGGGCGCACAUGUAGGUAGACAUGGCCAAGUAGGAGGCUGUUGUACAGCCUGAUCGUCCUCUAAUCUUUUACCUAAAUUUCCCAUUUCUCUCUAUCCCUUCCACAAUUCAAGGCCAAUAAUUCCUGGAAUGCUGUUACUGAACUGGAGUGGCUCAUAAAAGAAAAUGUGAAGCACUUCAGAUUUUUUUAAAUAUAUUUUCAUAUCUUGAAAAAAAAAAAAUGUAAAAGGCCAGAUUCUCAACGUUUUCAGAAUCUCGCCUAAAAUUUGCAGUGACCGGACCCAAUUUAAAUCAAACUAUGCUUCUUAUAAACACGUGCUAUUUCUGGAAAUGUCAGCGGUCCUUGUAGUUAUUAAGCAGCAAAUUACGUAUUUCUUGUGCCACUUGAAGGGGGAGUGUUGCAGAUUUGACAAUGUUGCCAUAAAUCACAGUUAUGAACCAGAGGGCCUGGCUUCUUGUAAUCCUAACUCCUAAAAGGCAGUUUAAUGAAAAUCAGGCUGUGAAAUGAAGUCCAAAUGUCUCACCUCUCCAAAAGAGGCAAAGGCUUAAAUUGUUCUCCGUCACGUUACGCACCUAGUUUUUGAGCCCCAGAUUUACAACUUUAGGAUUUUAUUCAUUACUUUAAAUGUUUUUAUACCUGAGUAAUAAAGUGAGGUGUUUCUUUCCCUCCCUUCCUCCCCCUUCCUUUCUAGUCAGCAGCAUUGUGAUAUGUAAAUUUAACUGUCAGGAAGAAUGCCUUCAUGUUAAUCCCUUUCUGAAACAGCCAGCAAUAUUUUUCACAGCGUGGCAGCCU